rnacentral:rRNA from 1 species
GAUGAACGCUAGCUACAGGCUUAACACAUGCAAGUCGAGGGGCAGCAUUUUAGUUUGCUUGCAAACUAAAGAUGGCGACCGGCGCACGGGUGAGUAACACGUAUCCAACCUACCGAUAACUCUGGAAUAGCCUUUCGAAAGAAAGAUUAAUACCGGAUAGUAUACGAAUAUCGCAUGAUAUUUUUAUUAAAGAAUUUCGGUUAUCGAUGGGGAUGCGUUCCAUUAGUUUGUUGGCGGGGUAACGGCCCACCAAGACUACGAUGGAUAGGGGUUCUGAGAGGAAGGUCCCCCACAUUGGAACUGAGACACGGUCCAAACUCCUACGGGAGGCAGCAGUGAGGAAUAUUGGUCAAUGGGCGCAGGCCUGAACCAGCCAAGUAGCGUGAAGGAUGACUGCCCUAUGGGUUGUAAACUUCUUUUAUAUGGGAAUAAAGUUUUCCACGUGUGGAA